rnacentral:rRNA from 1 species
ACUCCUACGGGAGGCAGCAGUGGGGAAUAUUGGACAAUGGGCGCAAGCCUGAUCCAGCCAUGCCGCGUGAGUGAUGAAGGCCCUAGGGUUGUAAAGCUCUUUCACCGGUGAAGAUAAUGACGGUAACCGGAGAAGAAGCCCCGGCUAACUUCGUGCCAGCAGCCGCGGUAAUACGAAGGGGGCUAGCGUUGUUCGGAUUUACUGGGCGUAAAGCGCACGUAGGCGGACUAUUAAGUCAGGGGUGAAAUCCCGGGGCUCAACCCCGGAACUGCCUUUGAUACUGGUAGUCUUGAGUUCGAGAGAGAUGAGUGGAAUUCCGAGUGUAGAGGUGAAAUUCGUAGAUAUUCGGAGGAACACCAGUGGCGAAGGCGGCUCACUGGCUCGAUACUGACGCUGAGGUGCGAAAGCGUGGGGAGCAAACAGGAUUAGAAACCCUAGUAGUUCCAUGA